rnacentral:rRNA from 1 species
CCCUUAGAUGUUCUGGGCUGCACGCGUGCUACAAUGAAGCGUCCAACAAGAUGCGAAGCCGAAAGGCUCAGCGGAUCUUUGAAGUCGUUUCGUGACCGGGACAGUUGAUUGCAAUUAUUCGACUCGAACGAGGAAUUCCUUGUAAUCGCGAUUCAUCAUAUCGCGCUGAAUACGUCCCUGCCCUUUGUACACACCGCCCGUCGCUCCUACCGAUUGGGCGAUCCGGUGAAUUAUUUGGAGUGUCCACGCAAGCCAAUCCGUUUACGUGGGUGCGAAAUUUUGUAAACCUUAUCGCUUAGAGGAAGGAAAAGUCGUAACA